rfam:Chlorocebus sabaeus isolate 1994-021 chromosome 3, whole genome shotgun sequence.
GUAGCUGUAGUUUAAUUAAAACAUUAGAUUAUGGAUCUAAUAAUAGAAGUCUAUAACUUCUUGCCUACC